rnacentral:rRNA from 1 species
UGAGGAACAUGACCUUCGGCGGGGGAUAGCCGGCCCAACGGCCGGGUAAUACCGCGUACGACCACUCGGGGACAUCCCUAGGUGGUGAAAGCAGCAAUGCGCCGAUGGAGUGCCUCGCGGCCUAUCAGCUAGUUGGUGAGGUAACGGCUCACCAAGGCGACGACGGGUAGCUGGU